rnacentral:rRNA from 1 species
UACAGAGGGUGCAAGCGUUAAUCGGAAUUACUGGGCGUAAAGCGUGCGUAGGCGGCUGCGCAAGUCGGGUGUGAAACCCCGGGGCUCAACCCCGGAACUGCAUCCGAUACUGCGUGGCUAGAGGUAGGUAGGGGAGAUCGGAAUUCCUGGUGUAGCGGUGAAAUGCGCAGAUAUCAGGAGGAACACCGGUGGCGAAGGCGGGUCUCUGGGCAACAACUGACGCUGAGGAGCGAAAGCGUGGGGAGCGAACAGG